UACAGAGGGCGCGAGCGUUGUCCGGAAUCACUGGGCGUAAAGGGCGCGUAGGUGGCGACAUAAGGCUGUGGUGAAAGUCUGGGGCUCAACUCCAGAUCGGCCGUGGCAACUGUGUCGCUAGGGCACCGUAGAGGCAGAUGGAAUUCCGGGUGUAGCGGUGGAAUGCGUAGAGAUCCGGAAGAACACCAGUGGCGAAGGCGGUCUGCUGGGCGGUGAGCCGUGAGGCUCAAUAGCCGACACUGAGGCGCGACAGCGUGGGGAGCAAACAGG
rnacentral:rRNA from 1 species